rnacentral:rRNA from 2 species
UACACAUGCAGUCGAACGAUGAUGCCCAGCUUGCUGGGUGGAUUAGUGGCGAACGGGUGAGUAACACGUGAGUAACCUGCCCCUGACUCUGGGAUAAGCGUUGGAAACGACGUCUAAUACUGGAUAUGAUCACUGGCCGCAUGGUCUGGUGGUGGAAAGAUUUUUUGGUUGGGGAUGGACUCGCGGCCUAUCAGCUUGUUGGUGAGGUAAUGGCUCACCAAGGCGACGACGGGUAGCCGGCCUGAGAGGGUGACCGGCCACACUGGGACUGAGACACGGCCCAGACUCCUACGGGAGGCAGCAGUGGGGAAUAUUGCACAAUGGGCGAAAGCCUGAUGCAGCAACGCCGCGUGAGGGAUGACGGCCUUCGGGUUGUAAACCUCUUUUAGUAGGGAAGAAGCGAAAGUGACGGUACCUGCAGAAAAAGCACCGGCUAACUACGUGCCAGCAGCCGCGGUAAUACGUAGGGUGCAAGCGUUGUCCGGAAUUAUUGGGCGUAAAGAGCUCGUAGGCGGUUUGUCGCGUCUGCUGUGAAAUCCCGAGGCUCAACCUCGGGCUUGCAGUGGGUACGGGCAGACUAGAGUGCGGUAGGGGAGAUUGGAAUUCCUGGUGUAGCGGUGGAAUGCGCAGAUAUCAGGAGGAACACCGAUGGCGAAGGCAGAUCUCUGGGCCGUAACUGACGCUGAGGAGCGAAAGCAUGGGGAGCGAACAGGAUUAGAUACCCUGGUA